GCACAAGCGGUGGAGCAUGUGGAUUAAUUCGAUGCAACGCGAAGAACCUUACCUGGGUUUGACAUGCACAGGACGCCGGUAGAGAUAUCGGUUCCCUUGUGGCCUGUGUGCAGGUGGUGCAUGGCUGUCGUCAGCUCGUGUCGUGAGAUGUUGGGUUAAGUCCCGCAACGAGCGCAACCCUUGUCUCAUGUUGCCAGCGCGUUAUGGCGGGGACUCGUGAGAGACUGCCGGGGUCAACUCGGAGGAAGGUGGGGAUGACGUCAAGUCAUCAUGCCCCUUAUGUCCAGGGCUUCACACAUGCUACAAUGGCCGGUACAAAGGGCUGCGAUGCCGUGAGGCUUAGCGAAUCCUUUAAAGCCGGUCUCAGUUCGGAUCGGGGUCUGCAACUCGACCCCGUGAAGUCGGAGUCGCUAGUAAUCGCAGAUCAGCAACGCUGCGGUGAAUACGUUCCCGGGC
rnacentral:rRNA from 1 species